UUCAAAAAUAAAGAAAAUGGUGCACAUCUCCGUGUUCUUCCUCCAGAAUUUCGGUCACCGUCCUCCACCACAGGCGGCGGAGAAAAUUUCUAGAAACUCGAAUCAUCAUCAUUAUCCUCUUCGUUUUUUCUCAAGGAUCACAAAUAUGCACUUAUUUUCUCCAGAUUCUUCUUUAAACUCACGGAUCGAAACAAAACAACUAUAAACCCUAAUUCUUGAAAUUAAAAUUAAACGAUCAAUAGCAAGAAUCAAUCAUCAAGAUAGUAGGGCUAUCACUCAGUGAGGAAUUUCUGCUCAGGGAUAUGUUCCAAUCAGAUCAUGCUUGUGCUAAAUUUUAUGCUGGUUCAAGAGCUAUCUGUGGUGGGCCAGUUUAUGUGAGUGACAAUGUUGGCUCUCAUGAUUUUGAUUUGAUUAAGAAGCUUGUGUUCCCCGAUGGUACAAUUCCAAAAUGCAUAUAUUUUCCACUUCCAACUAGAGACUGUCUUUUCAAAAUCUGGAACUUCAACAAGGUACCUAUCUCUCACUAUAUCUCAUAUCUACAAGACAUAAGUUUUUCAUUGUAUCAUGUCUGGUGUUUGUAUCAGUGUUGGUGUUUGUAUCAGUGUUCCUAUCUAAAGAGUCUGGCUUAGGGAUGAGGCUUCCUGCUUAAGAAUUAAGAUGGUAGAAAACUCUGUACACUGCAGGGCAACUUCCCUUUUCACAAAAAGAUUUUAUGAUUAAGCUUGUAAAUGAAGAGGAUGAAGUUAAUUGCCCCAAAAGGGUAAAAAAGUACUGGGUGGUCAUUAAGUUUGUUGCUAAAGCAAAUUUGCAUCACUUGGGGAAGUUUCUAGCCGGUAAGCGUGCUGGUACGCUUCAAAUUCUUGAUAUUGUACUAAGGAAGCUAUCAACAAAGGGGCAUGUAAAAUGGCCGAAGGUCAAAGUUAUACAAAAAGAUUAAACGAGAAACAAAUUUCAUCUCUUUUGAAAGUCACUUGCCAGGGAAUUCGCGAUCGAGGAAAUGACCUUUUACAAACGGUUCAACAUAUUGCUUAUGAUCAAGAUCCUUAAUCAAAGGAAUUUGGAAUUAACAUCAGUGAGAAGCUAGCGUUGGUUGAAGCACGGAUUCUUCCCGCCCCUUAGGUAAUGUGCUCCUCCUUCUAUAUAUCUUGCUUGUCAUAUACUAAAAACAUGUAAUUUCUAUAUAGUUUCCUACUAUUCGUUGAUUUAAAUCACUUUCGACCACAGCUUAAAUAUCACGAAAGUGGGAAAAAAAUACUUGUUUACUCCCUGUGGGUCAGUGAAAUAUGGUGAAUAAGGUAUUUUGUUGGUUUUAAUAUAAAUCACACAUAUUUGAUCUAUUCCUCAGUUAGGACAUGGUAUUAUUAUUUAAUAUUUUCUAAUCAAUAACAUCGUCCAAUUUAAUUGAACAAAUGAAAUAUUAAGAUAUCUUCUAUUCUUGGUUGGCCUAGAUAACUUUCAUUACUGAUAUCUUUGUCGCUUUAUUCUUGAGUGCGGAGUGCCACAGAAAAUGAUUAAUGGAAUGACUGUUAACCGGCUUGCAUAAAUUUCUCACGGAGCUUGCAAGAUAGUGUUGCUCACACUUUUUUAAUGGUCUCACUCAAAUGUGUCAAGUAUCUGGCAUGGUAGUUUUCUAUCUUCUUUUUUUGUAUGCAUAGGAAGUGCAGAAAGAAAAUAUUUGAUAUCUAAUCUGAAGCCUGUUAUCCCUAUCUACAAUGCCAAACCUGAGAAAGUGGUGAAAGCUUUGAAGCUUGUUUACCAAAGUGUCAACAAACAAAACUAAAGGAAAGGAAUUGGAGCUUUCAUUAGCAAUACUGCCAGACAAUAAUGGUUCUCUCUAGUGUAAUCCAAACGGAUUAAUAAUAAUAACUCUACAGUUUCACCGCAGAUAGAAUUCUAUCUUUGACAAACAAUCUCUGUAAUACGUAUGCUAGGUGCACACAAUCAGUAUCCAUUGUUCCUUCAGCAUACUACACACAUCUAGCUGCCUUUCGAGCACGAUUCUAUAUGGAACCGGAGAAGUAAGAGAAUGGCUCUAAAGUCAAUGGUGGUUAUUCUAACCAUAGUUCCAAGGGAACAACAACAAGAGCAGCUUGAGAAUGCGAUGUGAAGCCAUUACAGCUUUGAAAGAAAAUGUUAAGAGAGUGAUGUUCUAGUGUUAGACUUGUUUAGUUGACAUUGUAAAAAAGUAUUCUGUCAAUCUUCAUUGUAGAAAAUUUUGCUCAAAAACCUUUACAAUUACACCAUGCUUAAUCUGCUCCAUAGCUGAAAGAAAAUGAAUCAAGUCAUUGUAACAUUUCAUUGCCAUUUCUCUACGUAAAUAAACAACAAAAAAUUAUUUUGUGUGUUAUAGUGUAACAUGGUGGCUUCAUGCACAAGUUUAUCCAUCACUGUCAUUUGAAUAAUCUCUCUGAUGUUUAACAAACUCAUAGCACUGUGUACCACAUUGAGUAGAAAAGAAAAGAAUUAACUGUUUAUAAGGUUCUGAGAGAUGAGUGAGCUUGCCGAGUUGGGUGACUCCAGCUUGUAACCCAAGUGGGGGCACUAGGGUGGUGGAACUUGGUUCAGACAUCACUGAGUUGUUGGGGUUGGUGACUGCAAAUGUGCCUCCAUGUCCCUGACACUUCUAAGGCAGGAGCUGUUAACUAUAAACCGUAGUCCUAUGUAUAGUUUAUAAAAGGAACUUAUAGGGGGGGACUGGCUUCAUAGAGCAGUCCUUUCA